ACUCCUACGGGAGGCAGCAGUGGGGAAUAUUGCACAAUGGGGGAAACCCUGAUGCAGCCAUGCCGCGUGUGUGAAGAAGGCCUUCGGUUGUAAAGCACUUUCAGUAGGGAGGAAGGUAGUGUAGUUAACACCUGCACUAUUUGACGUUACCUACAGAAGAAGCACCGGCUAACUCCGUGCCAGCAGCCGCGGUAAUACGGAGGGUGCGAGCGUUAAUCGGAAUUACUGGGCGUAAAGCGCAUGCAGGCGGCCUGUUAAGUCAGAUGUGAAAGCCCGGGGCUUAACCUCGGAAUUGCAUUUGAAACUGGCAGGCUAGAGUCUUGUAGAGGGGGGUAGAAUUUCAGGUGUAGCGGUGAAAUGCGUAGAGAUCUGAAGGAAUACCAGUGGCGAAGGCGGCCCCCUGGACAAAGACUGACGCUCAGAUGCGAAAGCGUGGGGAGCAAACAGGAUUAGAUACCCUGGUAGCACAGAG
rnacentral:rRNA from 1 species